rnacentral:rRNA from 1 species
UAGAGUUUGAUCCUGGCUCAGGACGAACGCUGGCGGCGUGCCUAAUACAUGCAAGUCGAACGAACUCUGGUAUUGAUUGGUGCUUGCAUCAUGAUUUACAUUUGAGUGAGUGGCGAACUGGUGAGUAACACGUGGGUAACCUGCCCAGAAGAGGGGGAUAACACCUGGAAACAGAUGCUAAUACCGCAUAACAACUUGGACCGCAUGGUCCGAGUUUGGAAGAUGGCUUCGGCUAUCACUUUUGGAUGGUCCCGCGGCGUAUUAGCUAGAUGGUGAGGUAACGGCUCACCAUGGCAAUGAUACGUAGCCGACCUGAGAGGUAAAUCGUCCACAUUGGGACUGAGACACGGCCCUAACUCCUACGGGAGUCAGCAGUAGGGAAUCUUCCACAAUGGACGAAAGUCUGAUGGAGCAACGCCGCGUGAGUGAAGAAGGUUUUCGGCUCGUUAUACUCUAUUGUUAAAGAAGAACAUAUCUGAGAGUAACUGUUCAGGUAUUGACGGUAUUUAACCAGAAAGCCACGGCUAACUACGUGCCAGCAGCCGCGGUAAUACGUAGGUGGCAAGCGUUGUCCGGAUUUAUUGGGCGUAAAGCGAGCGCAGGCGGUUUUUUAAGUCUGAUGUGAAAGCCUUCGGCUCAACCGAAGAAGUGCAUCGGAAACUGGGAAACUUGAGUGCAGAAGAGGACAGUGGAACUCCAUGUGUAUCGGUGAAAUGCGUAGAUAUAUGGAAGAACACCAGUGGCGAAGGCGGCUGUCUGGUCUGUAACUGACGCUGAGGCUCGAAAGUAUGGGUAGCAAACAGGAUUAGAUACACUGGUAGUCCAUACCGUAAACGAUGAAUGCUAAGUGUUGGAGGGUUUCCGCCCUUCAGUGCUGCAGCUAACGCAUUAAGCAUUCCGUCUCUGGGGAGUACGUCCGUCAAGGCUGAUACUCUUAA